UGUUUUUUUGUAUAGCAAUCCCUGUCUUCCCUCCGUUGUUUAGUGUAUUUCGGAUUCGGUUCCGUGAAUGAUUGUUGUUGUCAGUGUCGCGUUUCUGUCCUUUAAUUCUUUGUAUUUGAGUUUUGGGAUGUGUUGGGCAGAUUUGAAACAGAUUGGUUGUGUUAGAAACAAAUAGCUUCUGCCCGGAUUUUGGCCUCUCCGCUCAAGCGGGCCCUUUUGCAAUUGCUCCUCCGCUCGAGCGCGCUCGAGCGGGCAGUCUGACGCUUGAGCGGGAUUCUUCAGCCUUCAGUAUUUUUUUUUCGAAGGUCUACAGAAUCUGGAAGUGUGCUUUCGACGCUCGAGCGUCCGUUUUCACGCUGGAGCGGGAGUCUGUGUCUAACGCUCGAGCGGAACGUUCUACGCUCGAGCAAACUGUGUGUAUUUCAGUCCGAGAAAAAGCCAUUUUGAAUCACUUUUUCGACUCUCUCUCUCUCUAAAGCGUUCCAAAACCCUAGGUUGAGAGCUUCUCACUCUAGAAUACUCUCUCUCUCUACAUUUUGAUCUUAAUUUAAUGAGACCCAAUCCUUGUGCUUUCAUUAAAGUGUUGGAGCUUCUCAAGACCUCCAUUUUCCAUCCGAAUAGAAGUUGAUUUCGUUACUUUUGGAGUCACCACUUGCUUGGUUCAUCUUCUCCUUUGAGUUUCGAAAUUUGAGUUCAAAAUGAAGCUUAAACAUAUGAUAAAUCAGCCCAAAAAUAACAACAAAUCAACCCAAAAACGACAGCAAAAUAGCCCAAAGCAGCAACGUAACAGCAGCAGCUCAAAGCUACAGUAAAAGGAGAGCAGCCAACUGAGGGGGCGGUCGAUCGUCGGUUGACCGAUCGGAUGACUAGGCGAUUAACUGGUCAGGCCAAUUUUCAAUAAACUUUUGCUUCUCUGCAGGGACAUCCGGGUGGACAUUUGAGAGGACAUUGGGCGGAUGACCGGUGGGUAAUUUCAGCUCUGCUUCGCUUCGGUUGUCAAACCAGCAGUAUACUCGGCAACCGCGACAGUCAUCCUUGAUGACCGGGACUUGACCGGACAUCCGAGAGGACGUCCGGGCGGACGACCACCAAGAACAAAACUUCAUCUGGAACAUCUGGGUGGACGACCACUCUGUAUUGUAACGGCUCUUUUUCAAAUGUUCUUGUCAUUAAUCAGGCCCAUCUUUCAACAUCUAAUCAUGAAUGGGAAAUGCAAGUUUGAGUAGAGUAGAGUAGAUUUAACCAUCUCACUCAAUCUUCUCAACAUAAGCAAUAGACAAUGGUCAAUGAAUUUCUCCUUAAUAAAUAGAAGUGCUCUUGCUGAAGAAUGACAGCAACAACACAAGUUAGAAAAUAUUUCUGAUCUUUCAUCAAUCUCAUUCUCUCUGAUCAUUUGAGAAGUUCUUUAUCUGGUUUUCAUUUUUCUCUCAGAAAUUAUACAUUGAGUCUUAUAGCUUUGAGCUCAUUUACUUGUAAGAGGUUUACUGAUACACAUACAGAGCUUCAACAUUUUAUAUCUAUCUUUAAGAAAUUAUCCUUGUAGCUUUCUUUGAAAACAAAAGCACCUUCAUUAAAUCUUGUAAGAGUGUGGUAUAUUCAGUGUUCUUGAUUCCUUGAGAGUGAUUGAGAAUUACGUAAAAAGUGCAGGGUUUAGGACUUGGAAAGUCUAUGUAAAAUCUGUAGAGGUUUGCUCUAUUUUGUAAAGAGGUUGCUAGUACUCUUGUAAAGCUAGAAGAUAGUGAAAAUCUCAAGUGAAACUUGAGGAGUGGAUAUAGGCUUGGUUGAAACUGAAUCACUAUAAAUCUGUUUGUUUUUUCUUCCCUAA